rnacentral:rRNA from 1 species
GGACCUGACUGCUAUCGGAUUGAUACUAAGCCAUGCGAGUCAUUGUAGCAAUACAAGGCAUACGGCUCAGUAACGCGUAGUCAACCUAACCUAUGGACGGGAAUAACCUCGGGAAACUGAGAAUAAUGCCCGAUAGAACAUUAUGCCUGGAAUGGUUUAUGUUCCAAAUGAUUUAUCGCCGUAGGAUGGGACUGCGGCCUAUCAGUUUGUUGGUGAGGUAAUGGCCCACCAAGACUAUUACAGGUACGGGCUCUGAGAGGAGUAGCCCGGAGAUGGGUACUGAGACACGGAUCCAGGCCCUAUGGGGCGCAGCAGGCGAGAAAACUUUGCAAUGUGCGAAAGCACGACAAGGUUAAUCCGAGUGGUUUCUGCUAAAGAAACCUUUUGUCAGUCCUAGAAACACUGAUGAAUAAGGGGUGGGCUAGUUCUGGUGU